rnacentral:rRNA from 1 species
GAGGCCCAAGCAGUGGCAACACUGUGGAAGGCCUAGUGGCGAACGGGUGAGUAACACGUGAGGAACUUGCCCCGGAGACCGGGAUAACUCCCCGAAAGGAGAGCUAAUACCGGAUGUUCUCACUGAGUCGCAUGGCUCGGUGAGGAAAUGGAUUCCGCUCCGGGAGAGCCUCGCGGCCUAUCAGCUAGUUGGUGGGGUAACGGCCCACCAAGGCAUCGACGGGUAGCUGGUCUGAGAGGACGAUCAGCCACACUGGGACUGAGACACGGCCCAGACUCCUACGGGAGGCAGCAGUGGGGAAUCUUGCGCAGUGGGCGAAGGCCUGACGCAGCAACGCCGCGUGCGGGAUGACGGCCUUCGGGUUGUAAACCGCUUUCAGUGGGGACGAACCAAGACGGUACCCACAGAAGAACCCCGGCCACUCGUGCCAGCGCCGCGGUAACACGUAGGGGGCGAGCGUUGUCGGAUUUAUUGGGCGUAAAGAGCUCGUAGGUGGUCGGUAGUCCGUGUGAACCUCCAGCUCACCUGGAACGCCCCCGAUCUGCUGUUCUAGGUCCAUAGGGGAGCGUGAAUUCUGGUGUGCGUGAAUGCGCCAUAUCAGAGGACACACUGGCGAUGCGCGCUCUUGCUGGCCUGAGCUGAGAGCAAAGCGUGGGAGCGACAGGAUACAUCCCUGGUAGACACCCGUAACAUGCGGACUAGUGUGGGUCUAUCACGGUUCGUGCCCACUAAGGAUAAGUCCCUGCCGGGAGUACGCCCAAGCUAACUCAUUGAUUGCG